rnacentral:rRNA from 1 species
UACGGAGGGUGCAAGCGUUGUUCGGAAUUACUGGGCGUAAAGAGCGUGUAGGCGGUUUGGUCAGUCAGAUGUGAAAGCCCUGGGCUUAACCCAGGAAGUGCAUUUGAUACUGCCAUCCUUGAGUAUGGGAGAGGAGAGUGGAAUUCCCGGUGUAGAGGUGAAAUUCGUAGAUAUCGGGAGGAACACCCGUGGCGAAGGCGGCUCUCUGGACCAAUACUGACGCUGAGACGCGAAAGCGUGGGGAGCAAACAGGAUUAGAUACCCCCGUA